UGCUUUCAACAUGGACAUGUGGGCGACUUCGGCCAAUGAAUUGGGUGUUGCAGGCCAUUGCAAUGCUACUGAGGCCAAACGGCUCGCUGAUCCUCGUUCAAAGCAUUUCAAGUUACACAAGCCCGGCUAGUGACACGUUAUGCUAAGAACCUGGUGUUGCGGGCCGAGGCAAGCUGACGAGCGACUUGUGGAUCCUUGUCUGAAGUGCGAUUGGUUGCCCAAGCCCGGCUAGCGACCAGACGUCAGUAGGAUACGGUGAUGCAGGUGUGCUUCGAGGCAUGUYGGAUUCAAUAAUUU
rnacentral:misc_RNA from 1 species